GCAAACUUGGUCAUUUAGAGGAAGUAAAAGUCGUAACAAGGUUUUAAGAUUCUAUGGAAGCCUUGAACAAUCAGUCUGUCUUUAGGCAGGCAACACCGAUGAUCUGCUGGAAUUUAGGGUCUACCCCCUCCAACCAGCAGCUGUUGGUUAGGUCUCACCUAACCUAUCAGUUCACAGAUCAAGUGUCGGUGGUCCUCAUCUUUUAGGUGUGGAUUCUAAUAUGAUCGGCUCUAUCUAGCAAUGGAUGGAAUCAGUGUUCCGUAGGUGAACCUGCGGAAGGAUCAUUAAAGGUUUAGGGUACUUGGUGCCCAAACUUCAACCCUAUGUUAUUGUUCGCCUUGUUCCUUUGCCGGUUUCUACCGGCGGAAGACAUCUCUAACUCAUUGAUAAUUUGUCCUCUGAAUUUUUGAAAUAAUAAGCAAAACUUUCAACAACGGAUCUCUUGGUUCUGGCAUCGAUGAAGAACGCAGC
rnacentral:misc_RNA from 1 species